rnacentral:rRNA from 1 species
GUGGGGAAUCUUCCGCAAUGGACGAAAGUCUGACGGAGCAACGCCGCGUGAGUGAAGAAGGUUUUCGGAUCGUAAAGCUCUUUCGUUAGGGACGAACGUGCUCUUUGUGAAUAAUGAGGAGUAAUGACGAUACCUAAAUAAGAAGCCACGGCUAACUACGUGCCAGCAGCCGCGGUAAUACGUAGGUGGCAAGCGUUGUCCGGAAUUAUUGGGCGUAAAGCGCGCGCAGGCGGGAUAUCAAGUCUGUCUUAAAAGUGCGAGGCUCAACCUCGUGAGGGGACAGAAACUGGUAUUCUUGAGUGUCGGAGAGGAAAGUGGAAUUCCAAGUGUAGCGGUGAAAUGCGUAGAGAUUUGGAAGAACACCAGUGGCGAAGGCGACUUUCUGGACGAUGUCUGACGCUGAGGCGCGAAAGCUAGGGGAGCGAACGGGAUUAGAAACCCCAGUAGUCC